UACGUAGGUGACAAGCGUUGUCCGGAUUUACUGGGCGUAAAGAGCGCGCAGGCGGUCGAUCAAGUCGAGUGUGAAAGCCCCCGGCUCAACUGGGGAGGGUCAUUCGAUACUGAUCGACUCGAAGGCAGGAGAGGGUAGUGGAAUUCCCGGUGUAGUGGUGAAAUGCGUAGAUAUCGGGAGGAACACCAGUGGCGAAGGCGACUACCUGGCCUGUUCUUGACGCUGAGGCGCUAAAGCUAGGGGAGCAAACGGG
rnacentral:rRNA from 1 species